GACGAACCGUGCGAACGUUGUUCGGAUUCACUGGGCUUAAAGGGCGCGUAGGCGGGCUUGUAAGUCAGGGGUGAAAUCCUCCGGCUCAACCGGAGAACAGCCUUUGAUACUGCAAGUCUCGAGGGAGAUAGGGGUCUGCGGAACUUCCGGUGGAGCGGUGAAAUGCGUAGAUAUCGGAAGGAACGCCGGUGGCGAAAGCGGCGGACUGGAUCUCAUCUGACGCUGAGGCGCGAAAGCUAGGGGAGCGAACGGGAUUAGAUACCCCGGUAGUCCUAGCCCUAAACGAUGGGUACUAGAUUGUAGACUGCAUGGGUUUACAGUCGAAGCAAAAGUGAUAAGUACCCCGCCUGGGGAGUAUGGUCGCAAGGCUGAA
rnacentral:rRNA from 1 species